GAACAGACUGGAUUAGUGAAAGCUACUGCAGUGCUUUGGACACUUACUAUGAUUUAGACUUGCAAUCUACCUGGAAUUGAUGUGAGUAUGGUGUGAGACAGAACUUCAGGUUGACUUUUGGUUCUCUAUGGAUACCCAUUAGACCCAGUAGAUAUAGAACCAUAUUCAUGGCACCAGUGACUGAAGAGUCCACGCACUCCCCACUCUGCUGCAGUGUCACCGUGAUCAUAAAUCAAGUGGGUUGGGAUUUCCAGUUCCUUGAUGAAGAGAAGUUACGAGACUGGGCAUCCUUGCUUUGUUCCUAAACAGGAGGUGAAAACAUUCAGUCUUCUGCCAUUAGGUCUGCCUUAUUAUUUUCGUCAGUGUUGUGCAGGAGAAUCCACUUAGAAGCCUGGGUAAAAUUGUAUUACAUGAUCUUGGGUUUGGUCCCUGAGAAAGAGCCAGAUUAACGCUGGCAGGAAAGAAAGCAGGAGUGCCCUUCAAACACGCUGCUGAAGGGCAACUGGAGGUUCCGGGGAAAUGUGAAGAAAGAAACGCAAACACCCCUAGGAACCAGAUUGCAUCUUGGAACUGAGGAGGUUCUGGAAGCUGUACACCCAAGGAAGACAUUCUGUGCCGGAGAGAGAGUGGGAGAGAUGUGACUGCUGCUGGCUGGGUGAGGACAGGCCCAGAGGACAGCAUCACUGGCACCCACCCCUGCAUUUGGGUCCUCUGCACCUCAGCUCCCAGCAUCUGGGCCUCCUCCCUGCCUGCCUCCCCUCCUCACUCAAUCUGUCUCCACUCAAGAGGCUGAUGGGCAGGUCUCCCUGCUUCUUCAAAUCUUUCAAAGGGAAACUUCACAAAGACAGGAGCCCUGACCCAUCCACCUUGGCCUCACCCCACCCCAGCACGGAAGCCAGGCGGCCAGUGGAGGCCGGUAGUGCUGAAUGGACAUGGGGCUGGAUGAAAAGACUUCCGCCUGCCUCUCUCAGCCCCGGAAUCGCCAUGAGCUGCUAUUCCGGAGAUUCUAUGCUACAGAAGUACAAGGUGAAGAAUGCAUACCGAUUACAUUGGCAAGGGAGAGAAGAGCCUGGUGCUAGCACUUUUGCUUCUUUGGUCUUUCAAAAAUGUCUUUCCCCUUGAUUAUACAUGAUAUAUUCCUAUUUUAGAAACUUCGAAAACUAUAAAAAAGUCAAAAGAAUAAUAUUACCACUCAGAAAUAAAGAUCAUCAAGUUUUGGUGU
ensembl:lncRNA FAM167A-AS1 FAM167A antisense RNA 1